AUUGAACGCUGGCGGCAUGCCUUACACAUGCAAGUCGAACGGCAGCACGGGAGCAAUCCUGGUGGCGAGUGGCGAACGGGUGAGUAAAGUAUCGGAACGUGCCCAGUCGUGGGGGAUAACGUAGCGAAAGUUACGCUAAUACCGCAUACGAUCUAUGGAUGAAAGCGGGGGAUCGCAAGACCUCGCGCGAUUGGAGCGGCCGAUAUCAGAUUAGGUAGUUGGUGGGGUAAAGGCUCACCAAGCCGACGAUCUGUAGCUGGUCUGAGAGGAAGACCAGCCACACUGGGACUGAGACACGGCCCAGACUCCUACGGGAGGCAGCAGUGGGGAAUUUUGGACAAUGGGCGAAAGCCUGAUCCAGCCAUGCCGCGUGCAGGAUGAAGGCCUUCGGGUUGUAAACUGCUUUUGUACGGAACGAAAAGGUUUGGCCUAAUAAGCUGAGCCCAUGACGGUACCGUAAGAAUAAGCACCGGCUAACUACGUGCCAGCCGCCGCGGUAA
rnacentral:rRNA from 1 species